UUUGCUGAAAACUUACAAGGAGUUUGGGGUUUUUUGGGCAUGAGCCACCCAUCUCCUUGCGUGGCCCUCCAAUAAACCUUUCUCUGCUCCACCCUUCGACGCUUUGGUUUGUUUAGCCUCACUGUGUGUCGGGUCCAUGAACUUGCAUUCAGUAACAAUGGCUAAUAAGUGCAUGAAACGAUGUUAACAUUAGCCAUUAAGGAAAUGCAAACUGCAUCACUACACACCUAUGAGAUUGACUCAAAUUAAAAAAAGACAUCACCAAAUGCAAGUGAGGAUCACUGACAUGUUGCUGGUGGGAAUGGAAAAUUGUACAGCCACUCUAGAAGUUUGUUAUAAAACUAAACAUACAGUUACCACACAAGCUAGCAAAAGCACGUUGGGCAUCUGUCCUAGAGAAACGAAAACGCAUGUUCACACAAAAACCUUAACCUCAAUUUUCAUAGCAAAUUUAUUUGGAGUAGCUGAAAUCUGAAAACAGCCUAGAUAUCCUUCAACAGGUGAAUGUUAAACAAACUGGGAUACGGACACUGCGGAACACUACUCAGCAAUAAAAAAGAAGGAACUAGCGAUGCACAUAACAACGUGAUGAAUCUCCAGGGAUUUCUGUUGAGCAACAUUACAUUCUCAGAAGAAAAAUCUUUCCAUUACAGCGGAAAGAGAGUGAGUAAUCUAACAUUUACCACGGAAAGCCUGGAAAAUACCUGGCCCCCCAUGGACACACAGAAGCCCUAAAGAGGGAGAGCAAAGGCCACUGUGUUAAAAUGUCUGAGGCAGGAGAGGAUGGUGGGAGGAAGCCAUCCAGUUCCUUCUAAAACUCAAUACUCUCACCCAGGUGAUUUGGUCAGGUAAGCUGGUACUUCUGGAUAAAACCAGAAUUACAUCUGAUAAACCACAUUUGAAAUAGUCAUUCAGAGAAAGCCAGAAAAAAGAUCUACUUACCAUUCUCAGAAUUAUUUCAGUGCUCUCUCUAUUCAGCAUACCUCACCGAGGCUUGUGAGAUUGUGGUCCAGCAGUUGAGAUGUGCAGGCAUCAGGUGUGGGCUGGGCUGCAAAGCCAGGGGCACCAGCACGCCUUCAAGGGAGCCACAGGAUGUCCCCACCUGGCCUGCUGCUAGUCAGGAGGGCCCGACGGCGAGGGGCCGGCAUAUAUGUCUGCUGGGUUUGUUUCUACCCAGGCUGAUGGUCUUAUUUCUUCAGAAGAAGAGCCCCUCUUAGGACCAAAAUGAGUACAGAAGCAGGAGUGAGAAUGGGAUAAACCAAGGAUGGAGUACAAGCAUUUCUGGAUUUGGCAGGAUUUCCAUUCUUUCCCCCUGAUAUAAAACACCAGGCUCCCCUUAGAACGGCUUUUGAUAAAAACUAUUUUAAGUGUCAAGAAGGCAGAAAUGGAAACCCUGUGUUUCAGGAAAGACAGUUCUCAUUGUCAUAAUUAUGACCACAGGUUCUUUGUAGCCUUGGGGGCUUGUGAUCCUGGUUGGGUCCCUAUCAAAACAAGAAACAAAUGUCCCAAGAACCCUGCCACCUCAGUCAGCUUAGAAGAGACGCUUGGCCAUGGCCAGGGCCUACACUGGGCCUCCUCAGGCUUAGAGCUCUACCCUGGAUCCAAGAGAUCACGUCAAUACCUUCUCCAGGAGUUACAAAGGAGCUUUGAAUUAAUUUAAUAACAAGUCAGGCAGGGAGAUGUGAAGAAAGAAACUGAGACUCCCUUUAGCAGGGACCCUGGAGGGAAAAUACCCCCCCCAGACGUCAACCUUGAGAAUGGUCUGGGCUGGACUGUCUUCCUGGGCAUCGGCCAGCCUCCUCUUUCCUCUGGGCCCUUCCAGGGUUGGUGGGAGCCAGGAGGAGUGGGGCCACAGAGAGACCCAAUUGCUAAAAGGUGGCUUUCUCAGGUUGUACCAAGACAGGCUGGGACCUGGGGCCUUUGCUGCAGUGCUUGCACCUGGACAAACAUCUCCUCGAGCAACAGAGUAUGAAGAAACUAUAAGGGACUAAAAUAACUGCGUGCAUGCGCAGUUGGGGCAAGUCAUGAACAAGAUACAGAAAGGCCAAACCCAACUGCCCUUCCAAGGUGCCGAGGUGCCCGGAGCCAAAGCAGGGUACUGCGCGUGAUCUCUGCACACGGCAGGACCAAGGGGAUGGGCAGACCACCCGAGCCACGCCUCCCGCCCGACACACAGAUCCAUCUCUACCCUCACCCUGUUUGAGGGAUCGAGCUAGGUAGGGCACCUGUUGCUUGUUCUUACUCUCUCAUGCUGCAGCAGGGGCCCCAGUAAAGCCUUGCCUGAAUUCCUCAUGUGGCCUCUUAUCAAUUCCUCUUGAUUAAAGAGUCCAAGAACCCAGGUAGGUAACAGUACAAUAGGAAGUGCUGGAAGCUUGCUGGCUCUGAAGGAGAAGAGAAGAACUUCUAAGAUGCGACUGAUUUCAUGCUUCUUGUAUUGUGUUUCUUUUUUGUUUCCUUGCUGUUUAGUAAAGGUCUUUCUUCCUUUUUUUAAGAUUUGGAAAAUUAGACUACUUUGGGCACACUAAAAGAAACCAAAAAAAGAUUUUGUUUGUUCACCAAUUGGUUUAGGUGAUUGUGAAGAACACAGCUCUUAAAAGUCAAAUCUCAAAUAGACUAGUAGAAUGUAAGCUCCUGGACAGGAAUUGUGGUGUGUCUUGUUCACUGCUGUGUUCUCAGCACAUGGCAUAUAGCUUGGAGGGAGCUCAAGUCAUAUCUGACAGUGAAGAAAGGAAUGAAGAAAUGGAAAGGUGAAGCUCAGGGGUAGAGGCUGACUUUUGGGGUCCCUCUGACAUUUCUCCAGGGUCCUGUCUUUUCCCAGUGAGUUCCUCCUCCUGUUACAGUUUCCACUUCUGCCCACACCCCAGGGCCAAGCUGCAGGAGCACAUAACAUUUACACUGACACUUUUAGGGUAAGUAGAUCUCAAUCAAGGUAAAGGGGACAAGGGGAAUCAGGUGGAGGGUAUUGAUAAGUGCUCUUUUGGUAACAGUGACAAUUCAAACUGGCUGAAGCAAAAGGGGGACUUGUUAUCUCACAUAACUGGGAAGCCCAGUGAUAACCUCAGGCACAGCUGGAUCUGGGGGCUCCAACAAUGAUGUCAGGGCUCUCUUUAACUCCAUCUGUUGGUUCUGCUUUCCUCUAUGCUGACUCCAUUCUCAGUGAAGGCCUUCUCAAGGAUGUCAAAAUCUCCACCAGCACAGCUCCAAACUCGGGUCCUAGUCCUCUGAGCAACCUCAGUGAACUUCACAGGAAACAUCCUGACCAGGCCCACCCAGGAAUGGCUGCAGGAAAGAAGAAAUUAACACACCCCCACCAGAGUCUGACUGGAACCAGGAAACAAUGGCAACAACUUACUGCCUUUUAAACUUUACCUCCUCACCUCCUCCUCUUUGUUCCAUAAGAGAAACUAACAUCCAAAGCUGGGCAAAAUGGUUCUUUGGGACACUAGUCCACCGUCUUCUCAGUCUGCUGGAUUUCCAAAUAAAGUCCUUAUUCCUUGCCCCAA